GAAUAUUGGACAAUGGGGGCAACCCUGAUCCAGCCAUGCCGCGUGUGUGAAGAAGGCCUUCGGGUUGUAAAGCACUUUCAGCAGGGAGGCAAAGUUGGUGGUUAAUACCUGCCGACCGUGACGUUACCUGCCGAAGAAGCACCGGCCAACUCCGUGCCAGCCGCCGCGGUAAUACGGAGGGUGCGAGCGUUAAUCGGAAUUACUGGGCGUAAAGCGCACGUAGGCGGCUUGUUAAGCCGGAUGUGAAAUCCCCGGGCUCAACAUGGGAACUACACCCGGAACUGGCAAGCUAGAGUACGGUAGAGGUGAGUGGAAUUUCCUGUGUAGCGGUGAAAUGCGUAGAUAUAGGAAGGAACAUCAGUGGCGAAGGCGGCUCACUGGACUGAUACUGACGCUGAGGUGCGAAAGCGUGGGGAGCAAACAGG
rnacentral:rRNA from 1 species